CUUGACAGCGGAUGGGACAUGUCAGCCUUCUUUUCUGCUGUACAUUGACCUUUGUUCACAUCCAACCAGGAACAGGCAGAGCUGUUCCUGCUCAGAGAGAGGGUGGAGACAGGAAGAUCCGGUCUGUCCUCAGCCUAAGAGGCUGGUCCAGUGCCUGUCGAUUUGCUGAGUGAGGAAGAGAGCCUUGAAGAAGGGAAGAGUGACAGGAAGAGAGCUCUGCUUCUGGUUUCCUGAUGAGACCCUGACUGAUCCAGAAGAGACGGUGCCUAUACUAGUCAAGGGCAGGAACCUCCAGGCUGAGGAGCUGGACUCUGUACCUGUCUUCUUUGUCUCACUGCAUCGGGCUGUGCCCUGAGCCUCAUCUUCAGAAAAUGGAGGGAAGUAAGUCCUGGGUGACCGCAGGAUCCCUGUAGCACAGCUCCCCCAAGGUCUUAAUGAAGUGCCAUUACACCUCUCAGCUAAUAUAAUCCCCAGGAAAGGGGCAGGGCAGACAGAUGGCAGAGAGGGAGACUGAGUCAUACUCACUAGCUAGGCCACACAGCUAGUUAGAAAUAGAAGCAGGCCUGGGACUCUUCCUCCCAAUAUUCCGCCCCCUUCCACAAAGACCCAGAGGCUCCCUGCCUCCUCCCUACUUUUAAUUCGAAAGGUAAUAGUUCCCACACUAUUAACUAGCUGUGUGAACUUUCUCAUGUUACUUUUCUCUGAGCCUUGGUUAUCUCAUUGGUUAAGUGAAGCAGGUAAACUAGAUGUUCUCAAAGUGCUUUUUCAGCUAUGACAUGCUGUGAUUUGAUGAUUUUUCCUCAAUGAAACCAAAGGGUUCAAUUUAUCUCCCCGAAGAUUUUCUAUGUUCUAUGCUCAGCUUUUGAUUUGACAUAAUUAUAGCACUUACAUUUAGUGCAAAUUCACAUAAUCAUUGCAUGAGUUAUUAAUUAUUUUUAAGCAUUGGCAUAGUACUCACUGAACCUGAGGAUGUACACAUUGGUUAGGACCAGGGGUGAGUUAAGCAACCAGAGGUCUGGGACUGCAGUUAACCUAUCAAGCCAGGGAGUUCAUGGAACUUAAGUCUGGUUAAACCAAAAAGGGGCCAGGGAUUCUAAGGCCAUGUUGUGUACUGAUGAGCUACUUUAAUCUGCCUAAUCCUACAGAGUGAUGUACAGAUCUGUGAUAGGUUUAGCAUGAACAUACUUUCAAUGUAUGUCUUAAUUUUGUUUGUGCUUAGCCUUCUAAAAAAAAAAGGUAUUUUGCCAAAAAGUGGCAAAACUGUUAAUUAGCCCAUUCCCCACAGCCUGGAAAAACAUGGAGCUUACACUGGGUUUUGUCCUCCAUGUAACAAAAGCCUUAGCUUUCGGGAGGAGGGAAGGAAACCAUCUGGGACCAGACUAAGAGGAAUCUCCUUCUGCUGGGAGACGGGCAGAUCACAACACCCAGGGACAAGGCUAAGGCACAAGCACACAAGGAAGGCCUAAGGCUAAGAGUGAAGCAGAAACACUGAGAAAAACCCUCUGGCAACCCAGCCUCCAUCUUAAGAAUAAGAAAAUGCUAGAGGAAUUUAAAGCUGGUGGUGCACUGAAGAUAAAACCCAAACCUAGAGCAGCAAAACCCAAAUCCAAGUCAACUUCUGACUAGAUUGACUCAACCACCCACAUCAAGGGGCAAACUUUGUCUACAAAGGACCAGUAUAUAGCAAAUAUUUUAGGUGUUGUGGGCCAUGUGGGCUCUGUUGCAACUAUUCAACUCUGCUGUUGAAGCAUGAAAGCAGCCAUAGACAAUAUGUAAAUGAAUGAACAUGGUUAUGUUCCAAUAAAUCUUUAUUUAUAGACACUGAAAUUUGAGUUUUAUAUAAUUGUCUUAUGUUGUAUAAUUACUAUUCUUCUUUUGAUAUCCAUUUGA
rnacentral:lncRNA from 1 species